UACAGAGGGGCAAGCGUUUAUUCGGAAUUAUUGGGCGUAAAGGGCGCGUAGGCGGCUUUGCAAGUGACGGGUGAAAUCCCUCGGCUUAACCGAGGAACUGCCUGUCAGACUGUGAGGCUUGAGACCGGGAGAGGUGAGUGGAAUUCCCAGUGUAGCGGUGAAAUGCGUAGAUAUUGGGAGGAACACCAGUGGCGAAGGCGGCUCACUGGACCGAUAUUGACGCUGAUGCGCGAAAGCCAGGGGAGCAAACGGG
rnacentral:rRNA from 1 species